rnacentral:rRNA from 1 species
AGCGUGUACUGCUUGGCUGGGCCUUACUUCUUGGUGAGCCGGCAUGCCCUUUAUUGGUGUGCAUCGGGGAACCAGGACUUUUACCUUGAGAAAAUUAGAGUGUUCAAAGCAGGCCUAUGCCUGAAUACAUUAGCAUGGAAUAAUAGAAUAGGACGUGCGGUUCUAUUUUGUUGGUUUCUAGAGUCGCCGUAAUGAUUAAUAGGGACAGUUGGGGGCAUUGGUAUUGAGUCGCUAGAGGUGAAAUUCUUGGAUUGACUCAAGACCGACUAUUGCGAAAGCAUUUGCCAAGGAUGUUUUCAUUAAUCAAGAACGAAGGUUAGGGGAUCGAAAACGAUCAGAUACCGUUGUAGUCUUAACAGUAAACUAUGCCGACUAGGGAUCGGAUGACCUCAAAAUUGAUGUGUCAUUCGGCACCUUACGAGAAAUCAAAGUCCUUGGGUUCUGGGGGGAGUAUGGUUGCAAGGCUGAAACUUAAAGGAAUUGACGGAAGGGCACCACCAGGUGUGGAGCCUGCGGCUUAAUUUGACUCAACACGGGGAAACUCACCAGGUCCAGACAUAACUAGGAUUGACAGAUUGAUAGCUCUUUCAUGAUUUUAUGGGUGGUGGUGCAUGGCCGUUCUUAGUUGGUGGAGUGAUUUGUCUGGUUAAUUCUGAUAACGAACGAGACCUUAACCUGCUAAAUAGCCAGGCCGGCUUCAGCUGGUCUCUGGCUUCUUAGAGGGACUGUCAG